AAGGAGACCGGAACACAGGUGCUGCAUGGCUGUCGUCAGCUCGUGUCGUGAGAUGUUGGGUUAAGUCCCGCAACGAGCGCAACCCUUGUCAUUAGUUGCCAUCAUUUGGUUGGGCACUCUAAUGAGACUGCCGGUGACAAACCGGAGGAAGGUGGGGAUGACGUCAAGUCCUCAUGGCCCUUAUGGGUAGGGCUUCACACGUCAUACAAUGGUCGGUACAGAGGGUUGCCAACCCGCGAGGGGGAGCUAAUCCCACAAAGCCGAUCGUAGUCCGGAUCGCAGUCUGCAACUCGACUGCGUGAAGUCGGAAUCGCUAGUAAUCGUGGAUCAGCAUGUCACGGUGAAUACGUUCCCGGGUCUU
rnacentral:rRNA from 1 species